rnacentral:tRNA from 2 species
GGAGAAAUACCCAAGUGGUUGAAGGGUCCGGUCUUGAAAACCGGUAGGGGAUGAAAGUCCCGCGGGGGUUCGAAUCCCUCUUUCUCCGCCA